rnacentral:ribozyme from 14 species
GAACAGAACAGAACAGAACCAAAUAGAGACCUUGAGGAAUCAAUCUUGCUAUUUAUUCGAUUUAUGUAUUGUAUUCACACAAUUUUCUUUCUUUCUUUCUUUCUACCUUUUUCCUCUUU